GGGUGGAAUGAAUGAGGAAAAGGAGGAAGGAUAAAAAUGACAUGGAGAGAAGUAGUCUUAAAAUAUUUAUAAUUUCUUCACAUUGGAGUGGAACUGUUCUCAAAUAGAGCUGAAUAGGGAAAAAGAAUUCAUAUAGCUGAUUUCAACUAGUUUGGAAUUAAACUUCUUGUUGUGUUAGAUAUUUUAAUAAGUGAAUUUGGUAUUUUGUUUAUUUAUUUUAUGAAGCGAUCAACAUGGUUUCUGACAUUUCUUGGUGCUCGACUCCAUCUGAUUCUUGCAUUUAGUAUCUUGUUCAAUCAUUUUCCCAUCUGUGGAGCUUCUUUAUGAAUUUUAGAAU
rnacentral:misc_RNA from 1 species